rnacentral:rRNA from 1 species
GACGAACGCUGGCGGCGUGCUUAACACAUGCAAGUCGAACGGACAGGCCCUGCUUUUGUUGGGUGCUCGAGUGGCGCACGGGUGAGUAACACGUGAGUAACCUGCCCUUGACUUUGGGAUAACUUCUGGAAAAUGGGGCUCAUAUCGGGUAGGAGCUCCUGCUGCAUGGUGGGGGUUGGAAAGAUUCGGCGGUUGGGGAUGGACUCGCGGCUUAUCCGCUUGUUGGUGGGGUAGUGGCUUACCAAGGCUUUGACGGGUAGGCGGCCUGGGAGGGUGGCCGGCCACAAUGGGACUAAGGGACGGCCCAGACGCCUACGUGAGGCAGCAGGGGGGAAUAUUGCACAAUGGGCGGGAGCCAGAUGCAGCAACGCCGCGAGCGUGAUGACGGCCUUCGAGUGGUAAACCGCUUUCGCCUGUGACGAAGCGUGAGUGACGGUAAUGAGUAAAGAAGCAACGGCUAACUACGUG